rnacentral:rRNA from 1 species
UACAGAGGUGGCAAGCGUUGUUCGGAAUUACUGGGCGUAAAGGGCGCGUAGGCGGCCUUCUAAGUCAGACGUGAAAUCCCCCGGCUUAACCUGGGAACUGCGUCUGAUACUGGAAGGCUUAAGUGCGGGAGAGGGAUGUGGAAUUCCAGGUGUAGCGGUGAAAUGCGUAGAUAUCUGGAGGAACACCGGUGGCGAAGGCGGCAUCCUGGACCGACACUGACGCUGAGGCGCGAAAGCUAGGGUAGCAAACGGG